GUGCCGGAGGGGGUCUGUAUAAGUUUGUGUCAGACAGUGCAUGUGUACGACUCGUGCAUCUGUGUGAAUGUGUCAGCGUACGUACAUGUGCAUGAGCAUGUGUGCGUCGGGCUGCAUGAGCGUGUCAGCAUGUGAGUGGGCUAAGGUCCAUCAGCUUCCUGGACUGGGUUGGUAUUAUAGCAGUGGAUGGAUCAGAACGUUGUCUGCAUGUCAGCAUGUGUGAGCGAGUGUGUGUAUCACUGUGUGAGCGUGCCUGUGCGGAGUGUCAGUGUGUGCAUGUGUGUCGGGGGUGGCGAAAUGCCAGGGGAGAUGGUGGUGUGUGUGUGUCACUGUGUUAGCGUCUCUGUGCGGAGUGUCAGUGUGUACAUGUGUGUCCGGCCGGGCGGCAAAAUACCAGGGGAGAUGGUGGUGUGUGUGUGUUACUGUGUGAGUGUGUCUGUGCAGUGUCAGUGUGUACAUGUGUGAGGGAUGGCGAAAUGCCAGGGGAGAUGGUGGUGUGUGUGUGUUACUGUGUGAGUGUGUCUAGUGUCAGUGUGUACAUGUGUGAGGGAUGGCAAAAUGCCAGGGGAGAUGGUGGUGUGUGUGUGUUACUGUGUGAGUGUGUCUGUGCAGAGUGUCAGUGUGUACAUGUGUGAGGGAUGGCGAAAUGCCAGGGGAGAUGGUGGUGUGUGUGUGUUACUGUGUGAGUGUGUCUAGUGUCAGUGUGUACAUGUGUGAGGGAUGGCGAAAUGCCAGGGGAGAUGGUGGUGUGUGUGUGUUACUGUGUGAGUGUGUCUGUGCAGUGUCAGUGUGUACAUGUGUAAGGGAUGGCGAAAUGCCAGGGGAGAUGGUGGUGUGUGUGUGUUACUGUAUGAGUGUGUCUGUGCAGUGUCAGUGUGUACAUGUGUGAGGGAUGGCGAAAUGCCAGGGGAGAUGGUGGUGUGUGUGUGUUACUGUGUGAGUGUGUCUGUGCAGAGUGUCAGUGUGUGCAUGUGUGUCAGGGGUGGCGAAAUGCCAGGGGAGAUGGUGGUAGCAGAUUCCCUCUCUCCACUUGUUUCUCCCCUUUCAGUCUCUCUCUCCCUGCACCUUCAGCAGGGAACCUCCCCUCCCCAGGGCCAUGAGCUCUGCCUCCCUCGGGCAUCGAUCGGCUCUGGGGUCUCGCAGAGCCAGGCGCUCUGCACAGCCCCAUCCCUGCUCUCUCUAUCACCCAGUCCCAGGAGCUAAUGUUGGCAGAGCCCGGGGGCUAGGUCCAGCC